AUUACUACCCGUGUCCGUUGCUGAGACCGUCUUGUCAAUAUUAUUACCCAUAUUCCUUCCUCUGAUCAAACGUCAGGUCCACAGUAGUACUGGUAUUUGUUCCUCAUAUCCAUAGUUUUUGAAUGUCCUAAAACAAGGACAGAAGUAUCCAUAUCCAUCUUUUCAUCUCCGUUGGUCAAUCCUCAAAAUCACCAAUAGUCAUUCCUCAAGCAGAUAGUCUGCAAUUAGUGUGUCCCUAAGAUCAAAGGGCAUGCGCAGAACAUCAAUAUCAUCCAAUAUUGAUGAAAAUCAGAAUUUGGAAUGGAGGCGCUCAUAGCAGAAUCCGACUGCAGAUCGGCACCACUAGCCAAGGUCGGUGAAGAUGCAGAGGCCUUAUAUUGCUGUUUAUCUUUCCAAAAGAAACUGCAUGUCCUGAAAGCAGACAACAGUUCAGAGCUGGCAGCAAUUUAAAGGAUUCUUUCAUUUUCCAGGAAGCAUCUCCUUUCAAUCCGUAGGACAUACGGACCGAGUUCACAGUUCUGGCCUGAGAGGCCACUAUGGAAAGCACAACUAGUGUAUAGCUGCUAAUCUGGCAGUAUUACAUAGAAGAGAAAAAAAAACUGCAGCAAAGGCUGCUGAAGUCUAGAAGACAUGAAUGAUAAUCAGUCAGCAGAAACCUGUCUGGUUAUUAAAAAGGAAGUUUUAGGCUCCAUCCUUUAAUGGAGUAGCCUAAGAGGCCACUAUGGGCAAAACAACUGUUGCAUAGUCGCUAAUCUGAAAGUCGAA